rnacentral:rRNA from 1 species
UCAGCCGUAAGGCGAAGCUCCUGAUCGAAGCCCCAGUAAACGGCGGCCGUAACUAUAACGGUCCUAAGGUAGCGAAAUUCCUUGUCGGGUAAGUUCCGACCUGCACGAAUGGCGUAAUGAUGGCCAGGCUGUCUCCACCCGAGACUCAGUGAAAUUGAACUCGCUGUGAAGAUGCAGUGUACCCGCGGCAAGACGGAAAGACCCCGUGAACCUUUACUAUAGCUUGACACUGAACAUUGAGCCUUGAUGUGUAGGAUAGGUGGGAGGCUUUGAAGUGUGGACGCCAGUCUGCAUGGAGCCAACCUUGAAAUACCACCCUUUAACGUUUGAUGUUCUAACCUAGGCCCAUAAACUGGGUCGGGGACCGUGUCUGGUGGGUAGUUUGACUGGGGCGGUCUCCUCCUAAAGAGUAACGGAGGAGCACGAAGGUUGGCUAAGCAUGGUCGGACAUCAUGCGGUUAGUGCAAAGGCAUAAGCCAGCUUGACUGCGAGAGUGACGGCUCGAGCAGGUACGAAAGUAGGUCUUAGUGAUCCGGUGGUUCUGAAUGGAAGGGCCAUCGCUCAACGGAUAAAAGGUACUCCGGGGAUAACAGGCUGAUACCGCCCAAGAGUUCAUAUCGACGGCGGUGUUUGGCACCUCGAUGUCGGCUCAUCACAUCCUGGGGCUGAAGUAGGUCCCAAGGGUAUGGCUGUUCGCCAUUUAAAGUGGUACGCGAGCUGGGUUUAGAACGUCGUGAGACAGUUCGGUCCCUAUCUGCCGUGGGCGUUGGAAGAUUGAGAGGGGUUGCUCCUAGUACGAGAGGACCGGAGUGAACGCACCACUGGUGUUCGGGUUGUCAUGCCAAUGGCAUUGCCCGGUAGCUAAGUGCGGAAGAGAUAACCGCUGAAAGCAUCUAAGCGGGAAACUUGCC